GGCCUGCAGAGGGGAGGGGGGAUGAGCAGGCCUGGGCCAGCCCGGAGGCCCUGGGCUGACGGGCACCCUCUGCUUUGGGGUAAGUGGCUUUGAAGGGCAAAUUCACAACCAAACAUGUCCUGCUGGGCCUCCAGCCUUCCAGGGAAGCCCUGCCCAGCCACGGAAUUUCCUGCAGGCUGUUCCCGGGAGGGUUUGGCUUGCGAGCUGAAUGCGAAGCAUGUGGCCUGGUGUGCAAAGACAACUGGGCCACAACCCGCAUGCCAGGAGCCUGGUGGGCUCGCACAUGAGUGACAGACCAGGAACCCCAGCUGGGCAGCGGAGCAGCUCUGGACAGCGCUCUGUGCCGGGCCUGGCUUCCUGGCUGUCCAUGGGGGAGGGCCGCCUGGAAGGUCCUGGGCGAGUGCAGCCCGGCCCGGCUCUCAGGCAGUUUGGACUCCGUGCUGAGUGCUCAGGGGAGAGCCACGCCGCCAGCCCACGCGCACUCGCGCACCAUCCAUUCCACCUCCCACUCGCUCGUGACUCGCCACCUGCACUGGGUGCCCACUCGGUGCCAGGGCAGUGCUGGCAUCCACCACAGAAGGCCAGGCCUGCCCCCAGGAGCUCACAGACUGAGGGGAGACAGUGCACCACCGACCUGGCCUGGGCGACGGGCCAGCUACCUGUCAGGGAGGGGCUUCUGAGCUGGCCUCUCCUCGUUGGAUGUAGCACAGGGUCCCGAGCGUGGAGCUGGAACUGCACUGCGUGCGUUCAAAGACUGGCUCUCCCACUCAGGAGCCGUGUGAUUCUCGGCAUUACCGGCCUUUGCCUGUUUCCUCACCGGCCUGGGAUCCCUAAUGUGCAUGCACACGCAUAAGCAAGGUGAUUACACAACGGUAUUCGCAUAUUCAAGCACUCCAAAUGCUAGAACAUCGCCCCCUGGUGCCAUGGAGGAUAAAGGGGCCUGAGAGACAGGAAGACAACUCCAGCUGGCAAGGCCAACCCUGACACAGAGCUGCCAGGGAGUGACGUGUGUCACUGAGCUUCAACCCACUGAGCGUGGCCGUGGAUUCCAGCGCAGUCUCUGAGGACACGCUGCCUAUUUAGCUCUCAGCUUUCUACAGUAAAUGGUUUCCUAAUCAGAAAAACAUGUUCGGUUAUUUUUAAAAGUUCAAUCUGCAUGGACCAGAAGGGGAACUUCUCUCGGACCCCUGCCAGCAUCCUCACUGCAGUGGGAAGUCGCUGCAGGCUGAUGCCUCCCAGCAGACCGGGUGAAAAGGCGAAAAGCCCGAAUUUGGGAGAGAGGACGCCCACCGCCUCCAGGCUCGGCACUCACCGGAAGUGCGGGCAUGAAAAUCAGCACGUAUUCAUGGGUGAGCCUACAAGAGAACAGAAGCUCCAGAGCCGGCAGGCUGUGCCCUCCUCAGCCGGGGCACCCUGGGAACCCCGGGUUUUCAGAGAGCUCUCCCAGGCCCUGCAGGUAUCAGCCAAGACCAGUGGGUGCUGCCAGAGGAGGAACCCAAGGACCAGCCACAGGGGCCUCGGGGCCAGGGGACUUGCAUUUGGAGUCACGUGUGGCUUGUAAGGGGGUAAAAAAAGUUCUCUGAUCAAGAACUAGCACAUGAGUGCACAUACUAUAAAGUGAACAAGGCACUCCAUGAGGGGACGUUUCUAAAAUUAAUGAUAAACGGUGUAGUUCAUCAGAAA